GAACGCUGGCGGUAGGCCUAACACAUGCAAGUCGAACGGCAGCACAGUAAGAGCUUGCUCUUACGGGUGGCGAGUGGCGGACGGGUGAGGAAUACAUCGGAAUCUACUUUUUCGUGGGGGAUAACGUAGGGAAACUUACGCUAAUACCGCAUACGACCUACGGGUGGAAGCAGGGGAUCUUCGGACCUUGCGCGAUUGAAUGAGCCGAUGUCGGAUUAGCUAGUUGGCGGGGUAAAGGCCCACCAAGGCGACGAUCCGUAGCUGGUCUGAGAGGAUGAUCAGCCACACUGGAACUGAGACACGGUCCAGACUCCUACGGGAGGCAGCAGUGGGGAAUAUUGGACAAUGGGCGCAAGCCUGAUCCAGCCAUACCGCGUGGGUGAAGAAGGCCUUCGGGUUGUAAAGCCCUUUUGUUGGGAAAGAAAAGCAGCAGGUUAAUACCCCGCUGUUCUGACGGUACCCAAAGAAUAAGCACCGGCUAACUUCGU
rnacentral:rRNA from 1 species